GACAGAGGAUGCAAGCGUUAUCCGGAAUGAUUGGGCGUAAAGCGUCUGUAGGUGGCUUUUUAAGUCCGCCGUCAAAUCCCAGGGCUCAACCCUGGACAGGCGGUGGAAACUACCAAGCUGGAGUACGGUAGGGGCAGAGGGAAUUUCCGGUGGAGCGGUGAAAUGCGUAGAGAUCAUGAGGAAGACCAGUGGCGAAGGCGGGUCUCUGGACAGUUCCUGACACUGAGGAGCGAAAGUGUGGGGAGCGAACAGG
rnacentral:rRNA from 1 species